rnacentral:rRNA from 1 species
UACGUAGGGUGCAAGCGUUAAUCGGAAUUACUGGGCGUAAAGCGUGCGCAGGCGGUUGUGUAAGACAGAUGUGAAAUCCCCGGGCUCAACCUGGGAACUGCAUUUGUGACUGCACAGCUGGAGUGCGGCAGAGGGGGAUGGAAUUCCGCGUGUAGCAGUUAAAUGCGUAGAUAUGCGGAGGAACCCCGAUGGCGAAGGCAAUCCCCUGGGCCUGCACUGACGCUCAUGCACGAAAGCGUGGGGAGCAAACAGG